GGGCCCGUAGUUCAGUGGUAGAACGCCGCUUUUGCAAAGCGGAGGUCAGGAGUCCAAUUCUCCUCGGGUCCA
rnacentral:tRNA from 3 species